rnacentral:rRNA from 1 species
UACGUAGGGUGCGAGCGUUGUCCGGAAUUACUGGGCGUAAAGAGCUCGUAGGUGGUUUGUCGCGUCGUCCGUGAAAUCCCAUGGCUUAACUGUGGGCGUGCGGGCGAUACGGGCAAUACUUGAGUGCUGUAGGGGAGACUGGAAUUCCUGGUGUAGCGGUGAAAUGCGCAGAUAUCAGGAGGAACACCAAUGGCGAAGGCAGGUCUCUGGGCAGUUACUGACGCUGAGGAGCGAAAGCAUGGGUAGCGAACAGGAUUA